rnacentral:rRNA from 1 species
CAAGUCGGACGGGAUUGAGGAGCUUGCUCCUCAUGAGAGUGGCGCACGGGUGCGUAACACGUAUGUAACCUACCCAUAUCAGGGGGAUAGCCUCUCGAAAGAGAGAUUAAGACCGCAUAAAAUCACACUGUGGCAUCACAGAAUGAUCAAAUAUUUAUAGGAUAUGGAUGGGCAUGCGGAACAUUAGCUAGUUGGUAAGGUAACGGCUUACCAAGGCUACGAUGUUUAGGGGAUCUGAGAGGAUGGCCCCCCACACUGGUACUGAGACACGGACCAGACUCCUACGGGAGGCAGCAGUAAGGAAUAUUGGUCAAUGGACGGAAGUCUGAACCAGCCAUGCCGCGUGCAGGAAGACGGCCCUACGGGUUGUAAACUGCUUUUGCAGGGGAAUAAACCUCUCUACGUGUAGAGAGCUGAAUGUACUCUGAGAAUAAGGAUCGGCUAACUCCGUGCCAGCAGCCGCGGUAAUACGGAGGAUCCAAGCGUUAUCCGGAUUUAUUGGGUUUAAAGGGUGCGUAGGUGGCCUGUUAAGUCAGGGGUGAAAGACGGUAGCUUAACUAUCGCAGUGCCCUUGAUACUGAUGGGCUUGAAUGGACUAGAGGUAGGCGGAAUGUGACAAGUAGCGGUGAAAUGCAUAGAUAUGUCACAGAACACCAAUUGCGAAGGCAGCUUACUAUGGUUUUAUUGACACUGAGGCACGAAAGCGUGGGGAUCAAACAGGAUUAGAUACCCUGGUAGUCCACGCCCUAAACGAUGAAUACUCGAUGUUGGCGAUAUACAGUCAGCGUCUAAGCGAAAGCGUUAAGUAUUCCACCUGGGGAGUACGCCCGCAAGGGUGAAACUCAAAGGAAUUGAC